rnacentral:rRNA from 1 species
AACAAACGCUGGCGGCGUGCCUAAUACAUGCAAGUCGAACGGGGAAAGCUUUCGGGUGAGUGCUAGUGGCGCACGGGUGAGUAACGCGUGGAUAAUCUGCCUUUGAGUGGGGGAUAACUAGUCGAAAGAUUAGCUAAUACCGCAUAAGACCACAGGAACUGAGGUUCUAGGGGUUAAAGGUUUUUCGCUCAUAGAUGAGUCCGCGUGAGAUUAGCUAGUUGGUGAGGUAACGGCUCACCAAGGCGACGACCUCUAACUGGUCUGAGAGGAUGAUCAGUCACACUGGAACUGAGACACGGUCCAGACUCCUACGGGAGGCAGCAGUAGGGAAUAUUGCACAAUGGAGGAAACUCUGAUGCAGCGACGCCGCGUGAGUGAUGAAGGCCUUCGGGUCGUAAAGCUCUGUCGCAGGGGAAUAACACAAUGAAUGUACCCUGUAAGAAAGGAUCGGCUAACUCCGUGCCAGCAGCCGCCGUAA